GGAUGCGGUCAUACCGGCACUAAAGCACCGGAUCCCUUCAGAACUCCGAAGUUAAGCGUGCUUGGGCGAGAGUAGUACUAGGAUGGGUGACCUCCUGAGAAGUCCUCGUGUUGCAUUCU
rfam:Brachypodium distachyon strain Bd21 chromosome 4, whole genome shotgun sequence.